rnacentral:rRNA from 1 species
UACGUAGGGUGCGAGCGUUGCCCGGAUUUAUUGGGCGUAAAGGGCGCGUAGGCGGCCACGCACGUCCGUUGUGAAAUCGCCCGGCUCAACUGGGCGGGGUCAGCGGAUACGGUGUGGCUCGAGCAAGCUAGGGGGCAAUGGAAUUCCCGGUGUAGUGGUGGAAUGCGUAGAUAUCGGGAGGAACACCAGUGGCGAAGGCGACUACCUGGCCUGUUCUUGACGCUGAGGCGCGAAAGCUAGGGGAGCAAACGGG